UCUUAUCAAGAGUGGCUGAGGGACAGGCCCUGCGAAGCCCGACAACCUGCCUUUAAGGCAAGGUGCCAAAUCCUGCGGUAUAUGCCGAAAGAUGAG
rnacentral:ncRNA from 1 species